UACGUAGGGGGGCAAGCGUUGUCCGGAAUCAUUGGGCGUAAAGAGCGCGUAGGCGGCCCAGUAAGUCCGCUCUGAAAGUCAGAGGCUCAACCUCUGAAUGCGGGUGGAUACUGCUGGGCUAGAGUCCGGAAGAGGCGAGUGGAAUUCCUGGUGUAGCGGUGAAAUGCGCAGAUAUCAGGAAGAACACCCGUGGCGAAGGCGGCUCUCUGGGACGGUACUGACGCUGAGACGCGAAAGCGUGGGGAGCGAACAGG
rnacentral:rRNA from 1 species